rnacentral:rRNA from 1 species
GACGAACGCUGGCGGCGUGCUUAACACAUGCAAGUCGAACGGAAAGGCCCUGCUUUUGUGGGGUGCUCGAGUGGCGAACGGGUGAGUAACACGUGAGUAACCUGCCCUUGACUUUGGGAUAACUUCAGGAAACUGGGGCUAAUACCGGAUAGGAGCUCCUGCUGCAUGGUGGGGGUUGGAAAGUUUCGGCGGUUGGGGAUGGACUCGCGGCUUAUCAGCUUGUUGGUGGGGUAGUGGCUUACCAAGGCUUUGACGGGUAGCCGGCCUGAGAGGGUGACCGGCCAAAUUGGGACUGAGCUACGGCACAGACUCCUACGGGAGGCAGCAGUGGGGAAUAUUGCACAAUGGGAGGAAGCCUGAUGCAGCAACGCCGCGUGCGGGAUGACGGCCUUCGGGUUGUAAACCGCUUUCGCCUGUGACGAAGCGUGAGUGACGGUAAUGGGUAAAGAAGCACCGGCUAACUACGUG